GCCUUUUUAGCUCAGUGGUAGAGCGUUGCACUUGUAAUGCAAAGGUCGCUAGUUCGAACCUGGUAAGAGGCA
rfam:Candida maltosa Xu316 contig2904_scaffold74, whole genome shotgun sequence.